CCUACGGGAGACUGCAGUGAGGAAUAUUGGUCAAUGGACGAGAGUCUGAACCAGCAAAGUAGCGUGAAGGAUGACUGCCCUAUGGGUUGUAAACUUCUUUUAUAUGGGAAUAAAACGUUCCACGUGUGUGAUUUUGUAUGGACCAUAUGAAUAAGGAUCGGCUAACUCCGUGCCAGCAGCCGAGGUAAUACGGAGGAUCGGAGGUUUAUCCGGUUGUAUUGGGUUUAAAGUGAGCGUAGGUGGAUUGUUAAGUCAGUUGUGAAAGUUUGCGGCUCAACCGUAAAAUUGCAGUUGAAACCGGCAGUCUUGAGUACAGUAGAGGUGGGCGGAAUUCGUGGUGUAGCGGUGAAAUGCUUAGAUAUCACGAAGAACUCCGAUUGCGAAGGCAGUUCACUGGACUGCAACUGACACUGAGGCUCGAAAGUGUGGGUAUCAAACAGGAUUAGAUACCCUUGUAGUC
rnacentral:rRNA from 1 species